rnacentral:lncRNA from 1 species
GACUUUUUGAAGCGGCCAACAGAGUUAGAGCUUCUGAAGUAGAAAAAACCUAAUCAUUUAUUGGGAAAUCAACUGUAUCUUUUGCUNNNNNNNNGAAUAAAAAAGGCCAGAAAUUGAGCUGUAAGACAUUUGUGGAAUGCCAGACACCAUUCUGGGCUCUCAGGACACAGAAGUGGCUUUUGUUCAAAUCCACCUUCUCAAGAGACAUGUGCAGACUAUUCUACUGAAAGCUCCCGCCCCAGCAGGAACAGCUGCUGCUGCUUCUUAUCCUGAGAUUUUUUUCCUCGCUCCCCCCAAUUAGAAUAUAUGUUCAUUUACGGCAGAGAUUUUUGUCUGUUUACUUAACUGAUAGAUCUCAAAUAUCUGGAAGGGUGCUUGAUAGACUGUAAGCACUCAAUAUAGGGGACUGACAGAACUCUCAGAAGUGAAUAUUUCUCAACUACAUAAACAGGUUAGAUAAUUCAAUAAAAACACCACCAUUACCCCCAAAACAUUAUUGAAACAUACUUUUCUUUUUUCUUUAAGUUCUGUGAGCCACGAAUCAGUUCUUUCUGCACUUGACGCCACUCAGUUCUGCCAUAGCAUACUUCUCUAAAUGAAUCACUCUAAAAUUUCCCUGUUGCUUGUUGAGUUUUUUUUCACAUCUUUUUCUGUUGGAUUAUUAUUCUGAUACCUGGGAAAUAAAAUUCUUGUAACUUUUGUUAAACAUUUUUUCUGU